AGCGAACGCUGGCGGCAGGCUUAACACAUGCAAGUCGAACGGGCACUUCGGUGCUAGUGGCAGACGGGUGAGUAACGCGUGGGAACGUGCCUUUCGGUUCGGCAUAAUCCAGGGAAACUUGGACUAAUACCGGAUACGCCCUUCGGGGGGAAGAUUUAUCGCCGAAAGAUCGGACCGCGUCUGAUUAGCUAGUUGGUGAGGUAAAGGCUCACCAAGGCGACGAUCAGUAGCUGGUCUGAGAGGAUGAUCAGCCAAAUUGGGACUGAGACACGGCCCAAACUCCUACGGGAGGCAGCAGUGGGGAAUAUUGGACAAUGGGCGCAAGCCUGAUCCAGCCAUGCCGCGUGAGUGAUGAAGGCCUUAGGGUUGUAAAGCUCUUUUGUCCGGGAAGAUAAUGACUGUACCGGAAGAAUAAGCCCCGGCUAACUUCGUGCCAGCCGCCGCCGUAAUAC
rnacentral:rRNA from 1 species